rnacentral:tRNA from 7 species
GACAACGUGUCCGAGUGGUUAAGGAGAUAGACUUGAACUCUUAAUUCAGAUAUCUAUUGGCUUCGGCCUCGUAGGUUCGAAUCCUGCCGUUGUCG